AGUGAACGCUGGCGGUAGGCCUAACACAUGCAAGUCGAACGGCAGCACAGUAAGAGCUUGCUCUUACGGGUGGCGAGUGGCGGACGGGUGAGGAAUACAUCGGAACCUACUUUUUCGUGGGGGAUAACGUAGGGACACUUACGCUAAUACCGCAUACGACCUACGGGUGAAAGCAGGGGAUCUUCGGACCUUGCGCGAUUGAAUGAGCCGAUGUCGGAUUAGCUAGUUGGCGGGGUAAAGGCCCACCAAGGCGACGAUCCGUAGCUGGUCUGAGAGGAUGAUCAGCCACACUGGAACUGAGACACGGUCCAGACUCCUACGGGAGGCAGCAGUGGGGAAUAUUGGACAAUGGGCGCAAGCCUGAUCCAGCCAUACCGCGUGAGUGAAGAAGGCCUUCGGGUUGUAAAGCCCUUUUGUUAGGAAAGAAAAGCAGCAGGUUAAUACCCCGCUGUUCUGACGGUACCCAAAGAAUAAGCACCGGCUAACCUCGUG
rnacentral:rRNA from 1 species